rnacentral:rRNA from 1 species
GAUGAACGCUAGCUACAGGCUUAACACAUGCAAGUCGAGGGGAAACGAUAUUGGAAGCUUGCUUCCGAUAGGCGUCGACCGGCGCACGGGUGAGUAACGCGUAUCCAACCUGCCCAUCACUUGGGGAUAACCUUGCGAAAGUAAGACUAAUACCCAAUGAUAUCUUUAGAAGACAUCUGAAAGGGAUUAAAGAUUUAUCGGUGAUGGAUGGGGAUGCGUCUGAUUAGCUUGGUGGCGGGGUAACGGACCACCAAGGCGACGAUCAGUGGGGGGUCUGAGAGGAAGGUCCCCCACAUUGGAACUGAGACACGGUCCAAACUCCUACGGGAGGCAGCAGUGAGGAAUAUUGGUCAAUGGACGAGAGUCUGAACCAGCCAAGUAGCGUGCAGGAUGACGGCCCUAUGGGUUGUAAACUGCUUUUAUAAGGGAAUAAAGUGAGCCUCGUGAGGCUUUUUGCAUGUACCUUAUGAAUAAGGACCGGCUAAUUCCGUGCCAGCCGCCGCAGUAA